UACAGAGGUCUCAAGCGUUGUUCGGAUUCAUUGGCGUAAGGUGCGUAGGCGGCGCGGUAAGUCGGGUGUGAAAUCUUGGAGCUUAACUCCGAAACUGCAUUCGAUACUGCCGUGCUUGAGGACUGGAGAGGAGACUGGAAUUUACGGUGUAGCGGUGAAAUGCGUAGAUAUCGUAAGGAAGACCAGUGGCGAAGGCGGGUCUCUGGACAGUUCCUGACGCUGAGGCACGAAGGCCAGGGGAGCAAACGGG
rnacentral:rRNA from 1 species